UACGUAGGGUGCAAGCGUUGUCCGGAAUCAUUGGGCGUAAAGCGCGCGUAGGUGGCCAUUUAAGUCCGCUGUGAAAGUCAAAGGCUCAACCUUUGAAAGCCGGUGGAUACUGGAUGGCUAGAGUACGGAAGAGGCGAGUGGAAUUCCUGGUGUAGCGGUGAAAUGCGCAGAUAUCAGGAAGAACACCCGUGGCGAAAGCGGCUCUCUGGGACGGUACUGACGCUGAGACGCGAAAGCGUGGGGAGCGAACAGG
rnacentral:rRNA from 1 species